AUACUUUGGUUUCUCUUCUGAUUGUAGAAAUCUUUUGCCUUUUAUUACAGAUUUCUGUGGAGAGGAACAUUUAUGAGUUUUGACCCAAUUUUUUGAGGCUUCAUUU
ensembl:snRNA U5 U5 spliceosomal RNA